AGACAACAAUAUAAUGUCUCCAAAGACCCAUAUCUAUUUUAAUGAGUCUUGUAGCUAUGCUAUAGGCAUACUGGGACAUGGGUGUUGCUCUGCAAGACCUGAAGGCAGAGGAUCUGGUGAGGCUUCAAGUGGGUCACUGCUAUGGUUCUAUGGGGAGAGCAAAUCAACGAGGAAUCUGACUGUGAAGAAAUGUGGCAAAUUAGUUCUUUUUUGCCAUCUCCCUCUAUGGUCUCCAAACCUCUAUCCCAACAACCUGCACCACACUAAUCAGCAUAACGAAUUCCUCCAGCAUGCCUGGCUUAAUGGAAUCAAUUACUUGUGGAAGACAAGAAACCUGGCAAGAAAACAACCAGCCAAGAGUAAUUUACCUGGAUGGUUACAGAGAGGACAUUAAGAAUGAAAGACAGCAUUAAGUGACAGAAGAGAGAGGCGAUAAAAGGAGAGCAUAAAAAGGAGGUCCUGAAGGGAGGUGCUGAUAGAACAAUCCAUCUGAGUGACCUUGAUCCAACCAAAGAGCCUUCAUAUCUCGCUUCUUCUGAAGACACACAUCUAUUAUUGAGUUUGUGGUCUGAUAAAAAUGAUUUCUUGUAAUUGUGACUAACCUGCUGUUCUGCAAUGACUUUGUGUGAGUCAUGGUCAUACUGUAAGUGGACGAAAUAUGGAACGGUUUUUUAGUCAUAGUUGCCUCUAUGUAUUACCAGUUUUCUGGAACACAAUUGUGCAAAUCUUGUAAAGUGGUGGUAACAUUCAAUACUAAUUGGUACCAAAAACCACAAGGAUGUGAAUCAUGUCUAAUGUAAGAGUAAGAAAAAUAAAUAAAUUCCACAACCGUACAAUUAACACCACAUCUUUCAAGCCAGAGAGGAAUGGUUUGUGUUUACU